CAUGCAAGUCGAACGGUAGCACAGAGAGCUUGCUCUCGGGUGACGAGUGGCGGACGGGUGAGUAAUGUCUGGGAAACUGCCUGAUGGAGGGGGAUAACUACUGGAAACGGUAGCUAAUACCGCAUAACGUCGCAAGACCAAAGAGGGGGACCUUCGGGCCUCUUGCCAUCAGAUGUGCCCAGAUGGGAUUAGCUAGUAGGUGGGGUAAUGGCUCACCUAGGCGACGAUCCCUAGCUGGUCUGAGAGGAUGACCAGCCACACUGGAACUGAGACACGGUCCAGACUCCUACGGGAGGCAGCAGUGGGGAAUAUUGCACAAUGGGCGCAAGCCUGAUGCAGCCAUGCCGCGUGUAUGAAGAAGGCCUUCGGGUUGUAAAGUACUUUCAGCGGGGAGGAAGGUGUUGUGGUUAAUAACCGCAGCAAUUGACGUUACCCGCAGAAGAAGCACCGGCUAACUCCGUGCCAGCAGCCGCGGUAAUACGGAGGGUGCAAGCGUUAAUCGGAAUUACUGGGCGUAAA
rnacentral:rRNA from 1 species